rnacentral:lncRNA from 1 species
GGAGGGGAGGGGGGGGCUUUGGUGGCCGGGCAGCGGCUGGCGCGCGGGGCCGGGACUUGGCAGGGGAAGCGGGGCCGUCCUGCCCGCUCCGGCGGCCUCGUUUCUCCCGCGGGCACGUAGCGGGAUCAGCGCCGCGGCCCCGGGACAAGGCGCCUUUCUUCCCCGCGGCGAGCGGGGCCAACGCGAGCUUUUCCCUGGGAGCUUGGGGCUGGCGAUGGAGUGAUUUACUUAUAUUAGCGCCUUCUCCCCCCUCCCCGGUGCGAUCCUGCCCGCUCAAACACCUCCUGCUCCGCUCAGCCCCAUACAACGGGACGGGAUCCAUCCUACGGGAUGGGAUCCAUCAUCCCACCCAGCCUGGGAUGGUCCCAGGGCAGGUGCCUCCCGCGAGCUGCUCGCCGCAGGAUCCCGGCGGGGUGAAACGGGUGUUUUGGGGCCACAAUCCUGUUUUGGCUGAAUUAGGACCUGGCCUCCACCACCGCAUGGUCUGAGCGCCCUCGACGUGCUCCGAUCGCCGAUGGCUACGUGCGGGUGGAUGACGGCCACCUCUCACCUCCCGCCUUCCCGCUGCCCGGGCUCCCCGGACGCGUGGGUCAGGCUCGCAGGCCCGUCCCCGAGCCCUCCUGCCCAGGCUGGGUCACCACCGGGUGCCCCCCACCACGAGAGGAGGCCAGGAGCAGUUUCACGGUGACCCAAGGUGGGCAGUCAGGUCCUUUCGGGAGGAGAUGCAUGAUGUGGGGUGGCAUAGGGAGUCUGCUGGAGGUUGCGUGCCACCACCAGCGUCCUCCUGCCAUCGCAUGUGGCCUCCUGGCUUGUGUGGCUCUACGGGGAGCUUCACCUGGUAUCUGCAUAGCCAGGAAGCACUUGGAUCUCAGCGUCUAGCGCCGGGAUAUACCAAUUACGCCGUUAUUCUCAGUGUCACUAUAAGCGGGAGCGAAUGCGGUAUUAAACUGCCUCUGCGUUGGAUUUAAAGGGAGGAGAAAAGCAAAAUCCUCUUAGCCCUGGUAAACUGUAAAGUGCUCAGUGUGGGAAAGACCAGCUGUGCGUUUGCUGAUGCUAGUGAAACUCUUGGGCUGGCUUUAACCACCACAGCCCUUGUUUUCCUCUGGUUUUUAUCGUGUUGGCCAGCACGUGAGCUUGGGUAGCUGGUUCUGCUGGGAAACGAACAGGUCAGGGCCCCGGACGGUCCCGCAGGCUCUUGGGAAGCGAUGGGGCCGAGCAACUCGGGCCAACGCAAAGCGGCGGGACCGGCGAAAGGCAAAAUAUCUCCAAUUUGGCUGUAACCCGGGAAGGGAGACUGACUGGAAACUUAAAGAUGGGAGGCAACUUGGCCCAGAACAAGCGUUGAGUGACCAAGGUCACAACCCUUACGAAGGGAUGGGGAAGAACAGGAAAAUAAAGACAAAGCACCCGGGGACGGCA